rnacentral:rRNA from 1 species
GACGUAGGGCGCGAGCGUUGUCCGGAUUUAUUGGGCGUAAAGAGCUCGUAGGCGGCUUGUUGCGUCGACUGUGAAAAACCACGACUCAACCGUGGGACUGCAGUCGAUACGGGCAGGCUAGAGUUCGGUAGGGGAGACUGGAAUUCCUGGUGUAGCGGUGAAAUGCGCAGAUAUCAGGAGGAACACCGGUGGCGAAGGCGGGUCUCUGGGCCGAUACUGACGCUGAGGAGCGAAAGCGUGGGAGCAAACAGG